rnacentral:rRNA from 1 species
AUAAGAUUUCCCAUAGCAUAAGCUAGUAAGACCCCAGGAAGACUACCUGGUAGAUAGGCUUAAGGUGAAAGCAUGGUAACAUGUUGAGCUGAUAAGUACUAAUAGGUCGAGGGCUUGACCUAA